UCCAAUGCAUAGAAACCUCCCUUAGCCAUGGUCGCCGCAGAGCUUUCCUGUAACGUAUCUCCUUUUCUUAAACUUUUGCUUUAAUUCUAUCAUUAAACUCAACCUCUCCUCUUCUCCCACUCCAUCUCAUUUAUUCAGAAUCAUGAACGGCGUCUAUAACACAUUCAAGCUCAACCUAUAAAUAAGUGUUCAUGAAGAACUGCACCGUUCAUGUGUUGGGGGAUGACCAUGGAUCCGAUGACAAUGGAGAACGUGCCGAGUUGGCAAAAGAUGUGGCACCACCAAACGGUGAGAACGUGAAGAAAAAGGCACGCCAAUAGUAGAUCAACUUGGAUUAAACAAUUUCCCACCGCUUUGCUUAUCGAAUGAUGUUUUAUCAUAUUUUUCCUUAAUAAUUUGAACUCUUUAGUAUCUUUUACAUUUUUAAUUUAAUCUCUUUGUUUCGGUGGAUGUUUAAACUAUGAACUGUAUGGUCAACU